GGGCCGCACAUGCGCGUGGGUGAAGGAGCGUGUGUGCGCCUGCACGUGUGUGGAGGAGCCCGCGCGAGCGGGCCGCGCAUGCGCCUGUGUGGAGGAGCGUGUGUGCGCCUGCGCGUGUGUGGAGACUUGCGUGCAGGAGCCCAGGCGGGCGGGUGCUGGAGAACGGUUACAGGUGAGCGUGCGGUAACAAAAUCCCGCGAGCCCAGCUUCGGGAGGCAGUUGGCCGCUUUGUGUUUUUCCUCUCGGUUUCGUUUCCCGCACCCCUCGGCCGGGCAUUUACCAGGCAUCUCUACCUGCCAGACUGCGCCCAGCUUGCGGCUGGGAAGACGACCGGAUGCAAACAGAUAAGCGCCCGCAGGGGCCUCCUGCCCAUGGACUCCGGCCGGCAGGUGCGCGGAGCCAGUGAGAGCCCCGGGACGCCGGCUGCUCCCCCGAGGAAUGCCCCUUGAGCCACGUCUUGGAAGAUGAGCAGGCACUGGAUAAAUUGUGUCGACUGAUAAUAAUUAUCAUAACUUGCUUUCCCCAAAGGACUGCAGAGAAUCCCUUAGUUGAGUAAAUAAACAGUGAGAUAAGAAGUCCAGCCAAAAGAAAACUGCUAAGCCAGCUAAAAGAUAAGCCAGGAAUGCUAUCCCGUAAGGAUUACUUAUAAAAAAAAUCAACGUUUUAAGCAGAACCGUAAUUAACCGUGAGCUCUGCUUGAGGACGGGCUGAGGCCAGUGCAGGCCCGCCGCUGGGGGAGCUCCGGGGGCCAGGCCCUCGGCCCCAGGCUGCUGUUUCAUCACUGUUCCCACUGUCUACCUCCUUCUCUGACUCCCAACUUGCGAAAGAGCUCUGUUUGCAUGUUUUAUUCCCCGUAGUCCCUCUAGUACCGCAUGAAGGAGAAAUUCUCCUGUCUUUGUUUGUGGCCAGAGACAGCGGGGUGGGCGAGGCUGAAGGAACUUCACAAGGGCACCUGAACCCCAGAGCGGGUGUGUCUGACCCGAAUCCCCCUGCGGGGCUGGCGCCGGGGCCCCACCUGGCUGGCCAUGGGCAGUCUGAGACACGUGGUGGACAGCAGUGGCUGGACGCCUUCCUCUGCUGGCCGGAGCCCACCGAGGGCCACACGCACAGGGAGCCCUUGGUCAUGGCUGACACGCUGGCUUACUUAACCCAACACCGGCCUCAGGACCCUGGAGGGCAGGCGGGCUCUCGUCAUCAGCUGUGCUCACAGGCAGACUGGCUGUGGACACCCUUCCAGAAGCUUCCUCCCAAACCGGAAGUCAGCCAGCAGCUGCAUUUUGCUUUUCUCAGGACUGGACAAGGAAACGAGAAAGCAAAUGAUUUCAGCUCCGGUGGAAAUCCUUCAGGCGAUAUAUCUACCAACUGGUAAUUAUUUCUGCAAAAACGACUGUUCGAUGAGAGCGGUGACUUCAGGCUCCUGGUGCGUGUGCAUGGUGCUCACGGAGGCAAGUCCGGGGACUGCGGCGGGCAGAGGGGAAGGACGCAGGGCUCAGCCUCGAGGCUCCAGCUGCCAUCGCCCUUCCUGGCCCCUGGGAGCCUGGACACUCAGCUCCCAGGAGUGAGGACAUCCUCUUAGCAGGAUGAUGAUGGGCUCUGUGCAUCCACAUGAUAAGCCAGCUUUUCCUGAGGAGCUGAGUCAGAACUGGGUGGCAUUUUAUCUCCUUGUAUCGACACUCGGGUGCUAUGGUGAAUGUGGACCUAUAGAGACCCCAUCGACAUCUCCAGUCUCCCCCCAACAUUCUGCCUUGUUAUCUUGGGUGAAGCUGGGCAGACUCAGGAUCUCGGAGUCAAGCCCACAGCUGUGGGUGCAGAACUUGAAAAUCCACGGUGGUGCUCUGAGCCCCACACCCCCUGAUCGUAUGAUGAAAGUUGUCCAUGGAUCUUGGAUCCUGGCACUGAAGGGGCCACCAGCCCAGAUGAAUUCAGCUCCUUCUCACAGCCACGGGGACCCUCUGGGUCUCCUUCCAAGGAGCUAAAGAGCAGAAGGUGUGGCUUUGACACCUGUGUCUCUACCAGGGACACCUGACGAUGGUUGUUCAGAACGUUCACUGGAUCCCAGCGCAUCGAUAUGAAUGAGCACCCCAUCCCCCAGUGGACAGAAGCUCGAAUUCCUAAUCACUGAGUUAACCCCCUGGGAGCAGGAGCAUGGAAUUAGGUCUCCUAGCCUGGGUGCUGCAGACGGUACAAGACAAGGACAGAUGAGCUAUUUAAUGCUAACAGGGUGGCAAAUUCACUUCGCUUUGUGCAUCAAUUUAGAAAUACUAACUUGUUUUAUUUUUAUGAUGUCAUGUAACUUGGUACACAAUAACGUGAAAAUUCAUUUUAUUAAAACCAGAGAUUAAUUAUACUACCCCAAAGAACAAAUUGCCACUAAUACUGGGUAAUCUAAGUGUCCUGAUUGUGGUAAUAAACUGAGUCAGGGAAGGAAAGGAGAAGAGAGAUCAGGGUGGCAAUUUGCUUAAGAAACAACGGACCGUCUAAUGGUAGCUUCUACUGAACGCCGUGAGCCCAGGCCUCCGCUCUGGGCCAGCAACUCCCAAGGCAGCCGCUCUCUGGAACCCCAGUGCCAUCAGAGGAAGGAGGUGAUGAUGGCCGGCCAAGCUGAACCCAAGGGCUGGCUCGGCAGAGCGCCUGGCCUGCUCUGGACUCACUUGCCAUCAGAACACCCAGGACCCAGGCACCCCUACCACACACACAAAUUCCUUGGGGGUGGGGCCGUACCUGUAAGACAUGCCCAGGUACUGUGCACGCAGUAGGUGCUUAAUGGAUGCAUGCCAAUCAAGCGGCUCCGAGACAGCAUUUGUCUCCUGAAGGACUCACUCCAUAAGUGGCUUAGCGGGUUUCACGGGUCCAUAUGGACUUGUGAGUCUACUGCUGAGAGGAGCCACCGGGGGGCCGACGGUGCACGCUGUCCCUAAAGGCAGUGCGUUUUCCUGUGGAAUGCAGUGGCUUUGGUGAAAGAUUAACCUUUCGCCUAAAAAUAAAUGUAUUUACAUUCCCGACAGGAAGCCUGAGGUUUUGCUGACCUUGAAGCAGGACAAAAUCUUAUUUGUUUGCACGACAACAAAAGUUGUGUGAAGGGUUCUUUAAUGCGUUAAGCAAAACUAUGCUGUUUAUCAUCAGGCAGCUGUUUCAACCCACUUCACUAUGCUCAGCGCACACAUGAUUUACACUCACCUCUUACCUGACUCAUAAUAUCCCCUGGCAGUCAUAAAGCACAGGAAAUUAUUCUCAGCCCGUGUCUCUCUCUUCAGAGACACAUUUAGACAGCGAUGCCAUCAACCAGCUGACGAGUUUUAGGAACCUUCCUGCUUUGCUGCGUCUAUCUUCAUUAUGAAAUUAAGAUGAUUGAACGCCUCAUAAUGGAGACACCAAAUAUGCCUUUCCCCUCACCACCUGCCAUGGUGGUUUUGUCCCCUGAACUUCCCCAGGUAGAUGCAUGCGGCUGUUCACUUGCAAGACGGCUCAGGAAGGUAGGUGGGGCGUUCACGGAUCACGCCGGGGUGACCGUGUCCACACUGACUACUUUCUUCCUCGCGACCCAAGCGCCGUCCCUAAACACAGCCUCUGGAGCAGGGUUCCGUACACAUCCCCGAUGACACACGGUACUUGAGAAUGAACAUUUUAAGACAGAAACUUUCAGAAAAACGUUCUCACCAUAUGCUGCUGCUGCUGAAAGAUGCCGUACGGAAUUCAUGUUUCCGUUAUGGCAAAAUAUGGUGCAACCACGUCUGUCCUUGAAGAAUUGAUACCCCAAGUGAGACGAGAGUCUGAGUUUUCAGAAUCCAGGCGCAGGUAGAAAUAAGGGUAAUCACAGUUCUGCUCACACCGAGACUGCAGGGAACAGGAGGAUUCGCGGGGCCAUUCUCAGAACUUCCGCUCCUGCAGCCCACACGCUGACCGCCAAGGACGAAAGGGACUUGAAAUCAGCAGGCUCGUUACAGAGAUUGUGAAAGGUACGGAGGAGGUUUUAGUCCACUUUUGAGCCCCGGCCCCUGAAUCACGAGGACCCUCGGUGGCAGGUGUGUGCCCGCCCCAGAGCCCCAACAACAGCCCCUGUCACGGAGCCACUGCAGCUACAGGGAUGGGCGGCAAGGACCUCCUGCAGGAGGUGAGGUGGUGGCUGGGCCAGGCGCCAGUGACACAAGGGCCGCUCUCUGCUUCUUGCCACGAAGGUCGGUGUUCCCUGUGGCCGUGUUCAUGCACUGCCUUAGCGGACCAUACGGAGCACCUCAGGGAUGGCCUGCCUCAUCCGGGGAGCAGUGGCUAACAGCCAAGGGCAGGGUUUAUGGUGCAAAGUCAGGCGCUGGCUGGGCUGGGCAAGGAUGUGAGGAAAGGACACAGAGGCCUGGGCACUCUUCCGUAAAAGGGCGGGGCAAGGAGGCUGGUCCCAGAGGUCACAUCUCAGCAGAUCUUAAGGAAGCAGCAGGCGGUGAGCUACAAGGAUUUCUGGAGGAAAGGCGAUCCAGGAGGAGGGAACAGCGGUUGCAAAGGCCAUGAGACAGGUGCUUGAAAAGUGGAGGAAGCCAAAGGGGCAGGGGCUUCCUGGGAGGUGGGGAGGAGUGACAGGGGGUGGGGGGGACCACCAUGCGCUUUGGGUUUCAUUCCCCAUGUGGAUGGGGGCUUUGCUCACUUGCCAAGGCUCAGGCUGAAGAAAAAGCUAGAAAGCUUCACAGACGCUCCCGGAGAGAAGCCGAGAGAACCAGGCUGCUCAGGAGGCCAAGUGCAGUGGCCACUGGCUGCACCCCGCCCCACAGGGCCCCAAGGGCUUCGACUGGGGACCCUGACCCCACAACUCCAAGCCUGUGGUCUUGGGAACGACCUGAGCUCCCAGAGCCUGCAUGGGUCACCUGUCUGUAACACACACCUCCGCGGGGUCACAUCUGUGCAGUGCAGGCAGGGCGCCCCACCCCCACCCCCAAAUUAUCUCCACACCUGAGCCCCUGGGGUCUUUUCAACACUCACAGCUGACCGCCCUCCUGCCUCCAGGCUGCCCCGAGAGAGGCCGUCAGGUCCCUGAAGGCUCAGGCUCUGUCCUGCCACAGGAGCUCUGCCUGGUCACCCGGAUGGUUUCCCAUGUCCCCCUUCAUGAUGACCCACCCCCUCUAGUCCCCACACACUUCCCACCCCCUCCCCCUCCCCCACAUACCAGACAUCGUCAGCUGCGCACACACUUAUGAGUUCAUCCCCUGAAAGCCUGUCUCUCUCGCAGCCUCAAAGCAUAAUGGCCAGGAGACCUUGGCCGGCUGGUUUAACAACGCCCUUCCAGAACCUGGUCUGGCCUCACAGCAGCACCAAGUGUCCCCAGACACUGUGGCGUCCACAGAGCCUGUGUGAGGAGCCGGUGACCAGUUCCCCUUAUAAAGUGGUAUGAACUGCACACAGUUCAUGCUCAAGUAAAAACGGGUCAUCAUCCUUGCAAGUUUCAGGUGUUGCAAACGUGCUGCCUUCACAAUGGGUCAGAGGGAGGGAGGGGGGACAAAAGGAAGGCAGAGGCAGGCAGGUAAGCAGCAACAUGAGAUGCUUGGUGCACUGUAUUGUCAUAACCACCAUUCCUAUGUGUAAAUCCCAGGCAUCGCGGUAUGCCUUGACUUUUUAUGACCAAAGCACUCCCAGGAGGGGCCAAAGAAACUCAGUACCAUCAUUGGCAAGAGCAAAGCGCACAAGCCCUGGAAGAAAUGACGUUUGGUGAGAUAGAUGUGUGCCACGCGUGUGACAGCACCCGAAGCAGAGAAGACCAUGGUCACAUCAGUCUGGAGUCCAUGAAAAUUCCCAACAAAGGAGAUGGAAAAUCAAGAUGGACCCAGAAGGAACACAGGCCACCCAGUGUCCUUCAACAGACCCACCUCAACGUACUGAGUCCUCAAAAUGAUCCAAAGGAAUGGAAGGUGGAUGAGUGAGUUCAGAGCUUUAGCAGGUCCCCAGUGGCCAUAACACCCAAGGCAAACUUGUCUCAGCCCACGUUCAACCUCCCCUUCUGCCUUCCAACAUAGUGGUGAAGCCACACCCUCAGGCGUGCACCCUAAGCCCACUGGAGAUUCCCACUGGGAGUCCACUUGGGGGAAGCUUCUCCCCGUGUAGCAGGGCCCAGCAGAGCGAGCCUGCAUCCCUCAAUAUUAAGCUGCGCACGGCAUCUGCACCUGCACAGGAAGACACCUGUGCACACACCCCCGUCCCCUCUGUGGCUGCAGUGUGUGGAGUCAGCGGCACCUUCACCCGAGGGCCGUGGAGAAGCCCUUGUGACAAGCUCAGGGUGGGCAGCGGUGGGCCUCGCCACCAGAGACUCUGCAGCCAGAGGCGGACCGUGGCAGGCUGUCCUGGGCCCUGUCUUUUCCUUCCUCCGACAUGACCGUGGAAUCCAAGCCAACCCCGUGACCCCGCCCUUCCUCUCCUCUCUAGACCUUUAGACUCAGUCAACAACGUUUCAUUCAUAAAACGUGUGGUCCUCGGCAGGAACCGUUUCCCUCUCUGCCAAGCCUGCAUCAGUGUCUCUCUGCCUCUUUCUUGUGAUCUCAACGGCAAUCAUCUACCGCCAACAGUCACUAACCUGCUUCCUACCCUUGCAAACUGUAACACUCCAUUCUCUGCAUAGUCCAAACCACACUCGGUCUUCCUUUUAAUGAAUCAGCAGACGUUUUCUGAGUGUCCAUUAUGUACGAGGUCUCCCAAACACGCGCCUAAAGGACACCGUGCAUCCCCCACCCUGCAUAAUGAAACAUUGAGGCAGACUUGUCUCUCUUUCCUGGAGAAUGAAUGCAAAUAGGCUAAUUAGAUCCGAAGAGAUUCCAGGUUCAUUUCCAAUUAAAAAAAUCCUCUGUAUUGAAGAUAA